rnacentral:rRNA from 1 species
UACAGAGGUCCCAAGCGUUGUUCGGAUUCACUGGGCGUAAAGGGCGCGUAGGCGGCCUGAUAAGUAGGGGUGAAAGUCCUGCGGCUUAACCGCAGGGCUGCCUUCUAAACUGUCGGGCUAGAGCACGGUAGAGGCAGAUGGAAUUCCCGGUGUAGCGGUGGAAUGCGUAGAGAUCGGGAAGAACAUCAGUGGCGAAGGCGGUCUGCUGGGCCGUUGCUGACGCUGGAGGCGCGACA